GACGAACGCUGGCGGCGUGCUUAACACAUGCAAGUCGAACGGAAAGGCCCCUUUGGUGGUGCUCGAGUGGCGAACGGGUGAGUAACACGUGAGUAACCUGCCCUUGACUUCGGGAUAACUUCAGGAAACUGGGGCUAAUACCGGAUAGGAAUCCUUGCUUCAUGGUGGGGGUUGGAAAGCUUCGGCGGGUGUGGAUGGACUCGCGGCUUAUCAGCUUGUUGGUGGGGUAGUGGCUUACCAAGGCUUUGACGGGUAGCCGGCCUGAGAGGGCGACCGGCCACAUUGGGACUGAGAUACGGCCCAGACUCCUACGGGAGGCAGCAGUGGGGAAUAUUGCACAAUGGGCGGAAGCCUGAUGCAGCAACGCCGCGUGCGGGAUGACGGCCUUCGGGUUGUAAACCGCUUUCGCCGGGGACGAAGCUUGAGGGACGGGAAUGGGUAAAGAAGCACCGGCUAACUACGUG
rnacentral:rRNA from 1 species